UAGCACUUCAAACCUGCUCUUC
rnacentral:piRNA from 1 species